rnacentral:rRNA from 1 species
AUUGAACGCUGGCGGCAGGCCUAACACAUGCAAGUCGAACGAGUGGCGGAAGGGUGAGCAAGGUCUGGGCAACUGCCUGAUGGAGGGGGACAACUACCGGAAACGGUUGCAAAUAACGCACAGCAGCGGCUGUGUCGAGAUGGGAUUAGCUAGUGGGUGGGGUAAAGGCUUACCAAGGCGCCGAUCCCUAGCUGGUCUGAGAGGAUGACCAGCCACACUGGAACUGAGACACGGUCCAGACUCCUACGGGAGGCAGCAGUGGGGAAUAUUGCACAAUGGGCGCAAGCCUGAUGCAGCCAUGCCGCGUGUAUGAAGAAGGCCUUCGGGUUGUAAAGUACUUUCAGCUGGGAGGCGUUACCCGCAGAAGAAGCACCGGCUAACUCCGUGCCAGCAGCCGCGGUAAUUC